UAAGGAAUAUUGGUCAAUGGAGGCAACUCUGAACCAGCCAUGCCGCGUGCAGGAAGACUGCCCUAUGGGUUGUAAACUGCUUUUAUCCGGGAAUAAACCUCUCUACGUGUAGAGAGCUGAAUGUACCGGAAGAAUAAGGAUCGGCUAACUCCGUG
rnacentral:rRNA from 1 species